GAGUUUGAUCAUGGCGUCAGGACGAACGCUGGCGGCGUGCUUAACACAUGCAAGUCGGAGGGGAAACGACAUCGAAAGCUUGUCUUUUGAGUGGGCGUCGACCGGCGUACGGGUGAGUAACGCGUAUCCAACCUGCCCACCACUUGGGGAUAACCUUGCGAAAGUAAGACUAAUACCCAAUGAUAUCUCUAGAAGACAUCUGAAAGAGAUUAAAGAUUUAUCGGUGAUGGAUGGGGAUGCGUCUGAUUAGCUUGUUGGCGGGGUAACGGCCCACCAAGGCAACGAUCAGUAGGGGUUCUGAGAGGAAGGUCCCCCACAUUGGAACUGAGACACGGUCCAAACUCCUACGGGAGGCAGCA
rnacentral:rRNA from 1 species